rnacentral:rRNA from 1 species
UACGUAGGGGGCAAGCGUUGUCCGGAUUCAUUGGGCGUAAAGAGCGUGUAGGCGGCCUGGAAGGUCAGCUGUGAAAACUCGAGGCUCAACCUCGAGACGUCGGUUGAAACCACCUGGCUAGAGUCCGGAAGAGGAGUGUGGAAUUCCCGGUGUAGCGGUGGAAUGCGCAGAUAUCAGGAGGAACACCGGUGGUGUAAACGGCUUUCUGGACCAUAACUGACGCUGAGGCACGAAAGCGUGGGUAGCAAACAGG